UCUACCUCUUACUAAGGGAUAGCCCAGAGAAAUUUGGAUUAAUAUCUUAUAGUAUGUUAACUUGGCAUCAAGAUAACAUUAAAGGUUACGGUAAGAGAUGACUAUGCGUCCUAUUAGCUAGAUGGUGUGGUAACGGCACACCAUGGCAACGAUAGGUAGGGGCCCUGAGAGGGGGAUCCCCCACACUGGUACUGAGACACGGACCAGACUCCUACGGGAGGCAGCAGUGAGGAAUAUUGGACAAUGGAGGCAACUCUGAUCCAGCCAUGCCGCGUGCAGGAAGACUGCCCUAUGGGUUGUAAACUGCUUUUAUACAGGAAGAAACACUCUCACGUGUGAGAGCUUGACGGUACUGUAAGAAUAAGGAUCGGCUAACUCCGUGCCAGCAGCCGCGGUAAUACGGAGGAUCCAAGCGUUAUCCGGAAUCAUUGGGUUUAAAGGGUCCGUAGGUGGAUAAUUAAGUCAGAGGUGAAAUCCUGCAGCUCAACUGUAGAAUUGCCUUUGAUACUGGUUGUCUUGAGUUAUUAUGAAGUAGUUAGAAUAUGUAGUGUAGCGGUGAAAUGCAUAGAUAUUACAUAGAAUACCAAUUGCGAAGGCAGAUUACUAAUAAUAUACUGACACUGAUGGACGAAAGCGUGGGGAGCGAACAGGAUUAGAUACCCUGGUAGUCCACGCCGUAAACGAUGGUCACUAGCUGUUCGAACUUCGGUUUGAGUGGCUAAGCGAAAGUGAUAA
rnacentral:rRNA from 1 species